rnacentral:rRNA from 1 species
GAGUUUGAUCGUGGCUCAGAUUGAACGCUGGCGGCAUGCCUUACACAUGCAAGUCGAACGGCAGCAUGAUCUAGCUUGCUAGAUUGAUGGCGAGUGGCGAACGGGUGAGUAAUACAUCGGAACGUGCCCUGUAGUGGGGGAUAACUAGUCGAAAGAUUAGCUAAUACCGCAUACGACCUGAGGGUGAAAGUGGGGGACCGCAAGGCCUCAUGCUAUAGGAGCGGCCGAUGUCUGAUUAGCUAGUUGGUGGGUAAAGGCCCACCAAGGCGACGAUCAGUAGCUGGUCUGAGAGGGCGAUCAGCCACACUGGGACUGAGACACGGCCCAGACUCCUACGGGAGGCAGCAGUGGGGAAUUUUGGACAAUGGGCGAAAGCCUGAUCCAGCAAUGCCGCGUGUGUGAAGAAGGCCUCGGUGUAAG